rnacentral:rRNA from 1 species
UGGGGAAUAUUGGACAAUGGGCGAAAGCCUGAUCCAGCCAUGCCGCGUGUGUGAAGAAGGUCUUCGGAUUGUAAAGCACUUUAAGUUGGGAGGAAGGGUAGUAACUUAAUACGUUGCUAUUUUGACGUUACCGACAGAAUAAGCACCGGCUAACUCUGUGCCAGCAGCCGCGGUAAUACAGAGGGUGCAAGCGUUAAUCGGAAUUACUGGGCGUAAAGCGCGCGUAGGUGGUUUGUUAAGUUGGAUGUGAAAGCCCCGGGCUCAACCUGGGAACUGCAUCCAAAACUGGCAAGCUAGAGUACGGUAGAGGGUGGUGGAAUUUCCUGUGUAGCGGUGAAAUGCGUAGAUAUAGGAAGAACACCGGUGGCGAAGGCGGCUACCUGGUCCGAUACUGACGCUGAGGUGCGAAAGCGUGGGGAGCGAACAGGAUUAGAUACCCUGGUAGUCCACGCCGUAAACGAUGAGUGCUAGUUGUCGGGGCGCAUGCGCUUCGGUGACGUAGUUAACGCGUUAAGCACUCCGCCUGGGGAGUACGGCCGCAAGGUUA